AUGCAAGUGGACUUUGUGUUUGACGAGGUUUUUGUACUGCCAUCUCACCGCUUUGCAUCACCGUGGUUAAGUUUCGGCGGAGGAACCAAACUCAUCCUCGGCUCGGGUGAGGUGCGUCGGCCCACGCUGACUGUCUUCCCCCCCUCAAGAGAGCAGCUUCAGUCGGGCAGUGCCACAGCCGCCUGCGUGGCAAGCGGGGGCUUCCCCUCAACCUGGACCCUGGGCUGGAAGGUAGGCGGCGCCUCCAGUGCCUCGGGGGUGUCGCACAGCCUCCCAGAAGAGGCAGGAGGGGACGGUCUUUACCGCUGGACCAGCACCUUGAUCCUCUCUGCGGACCAGUGGAGCAAAGCCCUGCCGGUGAGCUGCGAGGCCAGUCUGGACGGACACAACCCUGUCACGCAAACCCUGCCGGACCCGGCACACUGCUGA